CUUCAUCGACCUGUUGCGGGCAAAUGAAGUGAAUGUGCGUAUCGAAACCACCUGCAGUGACUAUUUUGUUUUCUGCAGCAAUAACAUCGGUGGAAGAUCCCACCAGCAAGUCGGGAUGAACGCCAUCCAUCACAUCGGGAUUUCCAGCCUUGCCAAUCCCAACAAUCUUGCCGUCCUUGAUGCCAAUGUCGGCUUUGUAUAUACCGCUCCAGUCAACAAUUAGCGCGUUUAUAAUAACUGUAUCCAAGCAAUCUUUGGAAGCUCUCCCGGAAGCCUGACCCAUGCCUUCGCGCAG
rnacentral:sRNA from 1 species